rnacentral:rRNA from 1 species
UAGGGAAUUUUCGUCAAUGGGCGCAAGCCUGAACGAGCGAUGCCGCGUGAGUGAAGAAGGCCUUCGGGUCGUAAAGCUCUGUUGGACGGGGGGAAAAAAAGGCAGCAUCAGGAAAUGGGUGCUGACUGAUGGUCGCCCCCGCCGGAAAGUCACGGCUAACUACGUGCC